CAUGCGCGCAGUGCAGUUUCGCUGUGACCGAGGUUUGUGCAAUUGAGAUACCAGCGAUCAUUGCCAAAGCCCUGUUGCCUGUGGAAAAGGAUAUUACAAGUGGACUUUCAGGUGGGAAUCUCAAUAAUUGUAACACCAAACUCUGACAGAAUUACUCAAUUCAUCAGGACCUGGAUAUUCGCAUUGUGUAGCUUGGAAAUAGUCAUAUUGUCACCAUACAUCGACACAGUCACACUGACUAAAGACUGUCCACCUGCACAGUAUGUGAAAAGGGAUUUCCUGGUUCAUCAGGACUGGUUAACUACCAGCAAAUUUCUGAGUAAGUGUUAAUUGAGUUUUAAUUCUGCUGUUAGCUAUAUCCAAACCAUGUUUUUUCGGCUUGUUUCUGGAGAUCAUAGAAUCCCUCCAAUGUGAAAGCAGACCAUUUGGCCCAUCACGAAGAGUGUCCUACCCAGUCUCAGUAACACUGCAUUUAACAUGGCUAAUCCACAUAGUCUGCACAUACCCGGGCACUAUGGGCAAUUUAGCACAGCCAAUCCACCCUAACCUGCACAGCUUUAGACUGGCAGGAAACCAGAGCACCUGGAGGAAACCUGCACAGACACAGAGACUGUGCGAACUGCAUUUAGACAGCAGCCUGAGGCUAGAAUCAAAUGCAGAAAUAGAAACAGUAAACAUCCAUUCAGCCCUUUGACCUUGUUCCUCCUGUCAUCUACGUCAGUUCUACCUUCUCAAAUUAUCCCCAUUUCCCUCAUUGCUGAUGUACAAAAAUCUAACACUGCCUGAUUUGGAAACCCGCGAUGACCAAGGAUCUACAGCUCCCUGGAAUAGAGAAUUCCACAGAUUUACAGUGAUGUGAGUGAAGAAAUUGCUCCUCACCUCAAUCUGAAAUGGUCACACCCUUAUUCUGAGACAAUUACCCCAUGUCCGAGAUUUCCCAGCCAGAGGAAACAUUUACUCAGCAUUGUUCCUAUCAAGCAUCUUCCAAAAAAAAAGAUAAUUCAAUGAGAUCACUUCUAUUUCUCUAUAUCCUACAGGUUGGUCAUCAGUUAGUUCAGUUGGCUGGACGGCUGAUU